UGGGGAAUUUUGGACAAUGGGGGAAACCCUGAUCCAGCCAUCCCGCGUGUGCGAUGAAGGCCUUCGGGUUGUAAAGCACUUUUGGCAGGAAAGAAACGUCAUGGGUUAAUACCCCGUGAAACUGAUGGUACCUGCAGAAUAAGCACCGGCUAACUACGUGCCAGCAGCCGCGGUAAUACGUAGGGUGCAAGCGUUAAUCGGAAUUACUGGGCGUAAAGCGUGCGCAGGCGGUUCGGAAAGAAAGAUGUGAAAUCCCAGAGCUCAACUUUGGAACUGCAUUUCUAUCUACCGGGCUAGAGUGUGUCGGAGGGAGGUGGAAUUCCGCGUGUAGCAGUGAAAUGCGUAGUUAUGCGGAGGAACACAGAUGGCGAAGGCAGCCUCAUGGAAUAACACUGACGCUCAUGCACGAAAGCGUGGGGAGCAAACAGG
rnacentral:rRNA from 1 species